ACACUUGUUCUGCUAAUUGCAUCAACUUGUAUUAAAGGGAUAGAAAUUGUUUAUACAUGUAAUGCUCUUAAGGGAAUUUUUAAUUUUGCUUAAAUUGUAAACAUAAAAGCUUUAGCUUGUACAUUCAUAUUGCCUAUUUUGAUCAGUGCUAUUUAUUGUAAUCAUAAAUUACUGGCAGUGAUACACCUUACUCAAUAUUCAUUGUUUCUAAAGUAACAUCAAAAAUACAGUAAGCCAUUCAUGUGAAUUGAAAACGGAUGGACUGGUUGUGGAAUAGUUUAAUGAUAACUGUCGAGUUUUAAUUUUUGACCUUUCACAUGUAUUUCCAAUGGUCAAAUUCUUUAAAUGAUAUGGUGUUAUGUUUUGAUUGCAUUCCAUUCAUUUUUUAUCGAAUACACUUUUCAUUGUUUGAUAACAACCUGAUCUGACAGUAAACUUACCUACAAAUUUGGAGGCUAAUUUACCGGUACUUGAUAGUUUAGAUAUUAUUUAUAUCUAAUUCUAUUUUUUUGUCCUGGAUUAUGAGAGAUAUUGUAAACCAGCUUUAUCGGUAUAUUGCAACUACUUUGCUUUUAGAAUGUCCAAGGUCAAAGUAGUGUCUGAUGACAACUUCUCCCAUUUUACAUUAAAAUAUUUUGAUGUACCGGUAUAAUGCAUUUAAAUUUUCUUAACAAAAAGGGCUCCUUGAUGAAAGGAUUCCACAAAAGUUGCAAAUAAUUCUUAGUUGGUUUACAGUUUAUUCUUCAAUCUUUAUAUUUAUUGUCGGAAUCAUCUUUUUAUUUUGUUCUUUGAAUUACAUAUAUUAUUAUUUAUCAUGUAGUGUAAAUGAAACUACUCAUUCAACAAUAUUUUUUCUCUUAAAAAUUAAAGUUCAUUAAAGGAUAUUGAAAAUC
rnacentral:sRNA from 1 species